UACAGAGGUCUCAAGCGUUGUUCGGAUUCAUUGGGCGUAAAGGGUGCGUAGGUGGCGAGGUUAGUCAGGUGUGAAAUCUCGGGGCUCAACCCCGAAACUGCACUUGAUACUGCCUUGCUAGAGUACUGGAGAGGAGAUUGGAAUUUACGGUGUAGCAGUGAAAUGCGUAGAUAUCGUAAGGAAGACCAGUGGCGAAGGCGAAUCUCUGGACAGUUACUGACACUGAGGCACGAAGGUCAGGGGAGCAAACGGG
rnacentral:rRNA from 1 species